GGGAAUAUGGCUUAGUGGUAGAGUGCUUGCUUAGCAUGCAUGAAGUCUUGGGUUUGAUUCCUCAAUACCA
rnacentral:tRNA from 1 species